AGAAUCAACGCUGGCGGCGUGCCUAACACAUGCAAGUCGAACGAGAAAGGGUAGCAAUACCUGAGUAAAGUGGCGCACGGGUGAGUAACACGUGACUAACCUACCCUGGAGUGGGGGAUAACUGAGGGAAACCUUAGCUAAUACCGCAUAAUACCUACGGGUCAAAGGAGCAAUUCGCUUCAGGAGGGGGUCGCGGCCGAUUAGUUAGUUGGCGGGGUAAUGGCCCACCAAGACGAUGAUCGGUAUCCGGCCUGAGAGGGCGCACGGACACACUGGAACUGAAACACGGUCCAGACUCCUACGGGAGGCAGCAGUGGGGAAUUUUGCGCAAUGGGGGAAACCCUGACGCAGCAACGCCGCGUGGAGGAUGAAGUCCUUCGGGACGUAAACUCCUUUCGAUCGGGACGAUUAUGACGGUACCGGAGAAGAAGCCCCGGCUAACUUCGCGCCAGCAGCCGC
rnacentral:rRNA from 1 species